rnacentral:miRNA from 1 species
GGGAGUGGGGUGGGGGUGGGAGCACAGCUUCCCUCCCACCCCCACCCCACCCCCAGUUCCCAGGU